UUGGGUAUUUUAAAUGCAAACAGAAAAAUCCGCAAGCGUACGGAUACCGAUGUAGCCUUCACCCAGGAGUAUUCUAGAGUAUCGAUUUUCCACAGAGAACGUGAGUGUACUAAUUAAUAUCCAAGAUCGCCCAAGGAUAACUAUAUAAUUAUUUUUGGUGGGAAGAGAGGAAGUUUCCUGAGAGUUCUCUAGUUGAUCUAAGAAUCAAGAAUUACUUCAAGAUUAUCUAUAUCGGGACAUCAGAGCACUAACCACAGAAAGAGAUGAGAAGGGGGCUAGGAAGGUCUCACUACGGUCCUACAAACACUGAUCCGAACGAGGUGGAAUACGUCGACCGUUAGGGCUAUCACUACCCUAAGGCUACCACAACAAUCCGCAGGAUUGGGUGCAAUUCCAGGUAAUUGCAAGACUAAACACUACGUCUAAUCUAUUAAUUACUACUCUAAUGUUUCAAAGACUAGAGCACUUGAUGCAAGCGGGAAUCCAAUAAAUAAGUUGAAUGUAAAUAAAAGUAAUUAAAGAACUCAGGAAUUAUGAAUUGAAGAACCUGGAGAACGAUGAAGAACGAACCAGUUGCUGCAAAAGUACAAUGUUGAGGAAGAUCCAACAGAUUCGGCUCCUCCUCCGCUCUCCUCUUCUCUCUCCCUAUUUUCUAGAUUACAACUAGAACUAACUAGAACUAGAACUAGAGGAACUAGAACUAGAACUAGAACUAGAUGAACUAGAGGUAGAACUAGAAGAACUAGAGGGAUCCUCUCUACUUGGAUGAAGAAUUGAAACUCUAACUUUGAUUCUGUAGAAGAGGUAUGAUCUCCAGGGGCCAGGGGGUCUGGUUUUAUAGUCCCUUCAAGUGAAUAUGGGUCGUUGAAUCAAACCGACAUUGAUUGAACGGUUAUCCUUGAUCCUUUAGGUCGGUGGAGCAAUAUCCCGAAAGAGAGUCCUGAUUGGACUCUAUGUGAGGGCGGGCGCCCAAGAGAGGAGGGCGGGCGCCCUGUCCUUGUGUCCUCUCGGCUUCCCGUUCGUUCUCGUGGCUUCUGAAGUCUUCUAGAUGAUAGAAAAUAGCGCGGCACGUUAAUAUCUCUAUGUAAACCCGACGUGUGGGUCUUUCCUCCAUAUUUCCUGAUAACCCCCUGCAGAAAUAGAAAAACACCAAAACUCAUGAAAUUCUGUCAGCUAAAACCCUAAGUCUGGGUGUUGAUUGCAUAUAGGUCCUUUUCCAUGAUUAGUUGAUGGUUAAAUGUGAGCAUUAAGGACCGUCAACAAGCUCCCCCAAGCAUAACCUUUGCUCGUCCCUGAGCAAAGAUGAACUCAAGAGUUUCUGUAGUGGUUUCAUGCCUUAAAGAUACACAUGCGUUCAAACAAGAUCUCAUCUCUGGGUUAGGGUAAACUGUUAAGAUUUAAACUUACUCAUAUUACCUUCCACCAUGGGGCUUGUAACCGUCACUUGUGUCUUGAGCAGUUAAAAGAUAGAACGGUCUAGUCAAGCACCAUGUCUCUUGUUCUUCGAUUAACUAUAGCUCUGGAGUUUUUGCAGAUUUUCAAAUAAAACUUAGAGAUUCAUUGUAUGACUCUCUCUAGUCUCUCUUUUGUGGUAUUUCUGGAUCCUUACCAAGGCAGUAAUGGUAUAUGCCUUCUCUCAAAGUAUAUGGAAUUUUUGGUAUGAGGCAUAGUGGCAUUGCCUUCUCUAUCACCCUACUCUAAUAAGGUUUUGAUAUCUGGACUCAUAGGUGGGAGACAGCUAAUACAUACUUACAAGACAUUUGUUGCAUAGUUAAACCAUGGAUCCAGAAGAUCAAGUCAAUAAGUCAAAUCAAGAUGUGCAUGUGUGGCGAAUGAAUGGUGUAUGGUGAUGAUGGUGAUAACAAUGGUGAAAGUCUAAUUCUACGUGUGCUCUUUUGAGGGGAUACAUACCUUCCUUGCUCUUUUGAAACUUUUGGAGAGAAUGAGAUGCUCUAUUUUUUCUUUUUUUUCUUUUCUCUCAGGUGGGUAUCUUGUACCCCUAAUUCUACUGUCAGACCCUUGUCCAUUUUUACCUCUCGUCUCACUUUUUUUUCUUUCGAGGUUCCGGGCACUUGCCCCUUUUUAUUUCCUCGCAUCUUCUCUUUUUUUCUUUUUUCUAGAGCACUCAUUUACUGAAAUAAUAUAGCAAGUGGUAGUAACCAAGAUAACUUGAGCAUUUAUUUCACAGGGGAAAAAUAGAAAUGUUUUUGGCUAUUCUCUCCCAGAUUAGGAGUAGAAUAUUUUGGGUGGCUUUGGAGAUGGAAAUGGGUGGAUAUAUGUGGAUGCGUACUUCCGGAGUAGAAGCAGCAUGUGUGAGUGAAUGUGCAAGUGAAUCUUGAUUUAACCACAUGACAAGCUCCUAAGGGUCUACACAGCUUGACCAGACUCAAUGCUCAUAAGCAGUAAAAAGUAAAUGUGUGGCUCAAAGUCUAGCAAGCAUGUAUAUAUGGCUGUGGUAGGAAUUUAAACUCUCAUCAUACAGGAACUCAUCAUGCAACAUUUUAAAGAUUUUCAAAGAUAAAAUUCUCCAGAAUUCUAGCAUCUCUAGGAAUAGAUAAACAGCAGCUCAACCUUCCCAUAUCGUAUCUGUUAACAUCUUAGACUUUAGAUCAAGUACUCUCCCCACAAGUUCAGGUUUACAGCAAAUCUUAAUUAAUAACAGUCAGGCCUAAACUUGAGAGAGAUUUCAAUUCUGAGAACUAGUCUUGGCAGAGACAACUAUUCAUCAUUUCCAUCUGAGAGCUUAUCAUGAGGGUUCAUAGCAAACUUUAUUUAUUUAUUUAUUUAGCAAACUAAGCAAAGAUAUAUAUAAGCACAAAAUCUUUAUUUGGGUUUUUAUGAUUAUGCAUCUUUUUAUUAUUUGAGUAAAAUAUAAACGUGAGUAGAACACUUAGCUGGAUAAGUGGGGGUGCUCUCCCCCAAGCUGGAUUUUGACGUAAUUUCUCCUGGUAUAGCUAGCAGGUGGCGAAGGUGUAUUUAAAUGUCGGCAGUACCCUGACAGCGAUUAGGAUGUCCACUGCUAGUAUUCUUUGAUCCUUGAAUUCUGUGAAGCUCAAAUAGACAACAAAGCUUUGUGGAACUAGUUAAGUGUUAGCACAAAUAUCUUGCCUUUAUCAUGUUGAGCCUCCUCAAUAAAUGUUACUCUCUUUAGUAGGAUCAUAAAUUUAUUUUCGUAUUUUUAUUUUUAUAGGACAGGAAUAUAUUUAUUUUAUUUUUAUGCCAUCACAGUGAAUGUACUUAUGAGUUUUAUGCCAUGAGCAUACUCACAUGGGGCUUACUAUUUUUAACAUUUUUAUUUUCUUUUCAAGAUGAUAUGAACCUGAUUAACUAAGCAAACUAUUUUAAAAUAAUUGAAAGGAAAAAGAUAACUACCAAGUUUACCUCUUGGCAAGGCGUUCGGUGUUUUGAAGUCCUCUGAACGGGACUCUUCGUUUUCUCAGUCGUCCUGGGAUUCACUGGGUGGUGUAGUCGGUGGUUCCGGCGGUGCCUCCUCUUCGUGUAUAACUAUCUUCUCUCUACACACCUGACUCGGUGCUAUGGUCUCCUCAGGAUAGUUCUGUUCAAGCUGUAUGUCUUCAGACCUUACCACUUCUCCUUCGUAGUCUGCCCAUCCAUCCUUGAUGAUUUGCCUCCUCUGGUUUCGGUUGCGUUGUCUUCUUCUUGUCCUGACCUAUUUAGAAUCUUAAACUAUAUAGUUAGAAUCAUUAAAGUAGUGGCGUACCUUCUCAGAGGGGAAGUGCAUGUGGACUUCUCCGGUUCCAAUAUAGAUGAUAACUUUGAUAGUGUUGAGGAACGAUCUUCCAAGAAUGGUGGGUGGAUCAUACUCGUCUUCUCCCAUGUCAAUGACCUGAAAAUCAUCUGGAGCUGAAUGUAUGUCGGUUUUAGGGGCAUGGUUCCGAAUAGGAGUUGAUAGGUGACUGCGGCCAUUAUGUUGACGCCUGAUCCGAUGUCGCAAAGCGUCUUCUGUAAGUUGUAUCCAUUAAUGGAGCACUGGAUGCUUGGCAUACUUGGGUCGUCCUUUUAGGUCAGAAACGGUGACUUAAGUCGACGAUCUUGACCUCCUUGAACUGCAGUGAUCAUCUUAGCUGACUCGGUCCAUAUUUGCUUGUUCCUGUUCCUCCUGUUGGUCCUCUUCCUUGGUUCAUGUCGGGAUUGCUCUGAGAUUUGUGUAGUCUUGUUCUUGAAGGAAAACGUCUCCUUCCUUCCCUUGAUGUAGAAACUGAUCUUGGCAGCACUAGCGUAGAUGACAGCUCCCGAGGUGUUCAGGAAUGGCCUCCCUAGGAUGACGGGUGCCCUCUCAUCAGAACCGGUCUCUAUCACCACGAAGUCUACUAGGGCGUAUAAGGUACCAACUCGGAUGC
rnacentral:lncRNA from 1 species